GGUUGAUCCUGCCAGUAGUCAUAUGCUCGUCUUAAAGAUUAAGCCAUGUAUGUCUUAGUAUAAGCACAAGAAUUGUGAGACUGCGAAUGGCUCAUUAAAUCAGUUAUGGUUUAUUUGAUGGUAUUUAACUACAUGGAUAACCGUAGUAAUUCUAGAGCUAAUACAUGCUAAAAGCCUCUUUAAGGGAGGUGUAUUUAUUAGAUAAAAAACCAAGUGUAGGGAAACCUAUAUUUUAUGGUGAAUCAUAAUAAGUUUACGGAUCGAAUGAUUUUAUAUCGUCGACGAUUGAUUCA
rnacentral:rRNA from 1 species